rnacentral:rRNA from 1 species
UACGAAGGGUGCAAGCGUUGUUCGGAAUCACUGGGUGUAAAGGGUGUGUAGGCUGUAUAGCAUGUCAGGUGUGAAAGCCCUGGGCUUAACUCAGGAAUUGCACUUGAAACUGCUAAACUAGAGUGUGAAAGAGGAAGGCGGAAUUCCUAAUGUAGCGGUGAAAUGCGUAGAUAUUAGGAGGAACACCAGUUGCGAAAGCGGCCUUCUGGUUCAACACUGACGCUGAGACACGAAAGCAUGGGGAUCAAACAGG